AUUGAACGCUGGCGGCAGGCCUAACACAUGCAAGUCGAACGAGUGGCGGACGGGUGAGUAAUGUCGGGGAAACUGCCCGAUGGGGGGGGAUCACUACUGGACACGGGAGAAAAUACCGCAUACCAUCGGAUGUGCCCAGAUGGGAUUGGCUAGUGGGGGGGGUAACGGCUCACCUAGGCGACGAUCCCUAGCUGGUCUGAGAGGAUGACCAGCAACACUGGAACUGAGACACGGUCCAGACGCCUACGGGAGGCAGCAGUGGGGAAUAUUGCACAAUGGGCGCAAGCCUGAUGCAGCCAUGCCGCGUGUAUGAAGAAGGCCUUCGGGUUGUAAAGUACUUUCAGCGGGGAGGCGUUACUCGCAGAAGAAGCACCGGCUAACUCCGUGCCAGCCGCCGCGGUAAUAC
rnacentral:rRNA from 1 species